rnacentral:rRNA from 1 species
AGAGUUUGAUCCUGGCUCAGGAUGAACGCUAGCGGCAGGCUUAAUACAUGCAAGGCGAAGGGGCAGCAAUGUCACUGUCGUACGGGUGCGUAACGCGUAUGCAACCUACCUAUCACUGGGGGAUAGCCCGGGGAAACCCGGAUUAAUACCGCAUAAAACAGGGGCACCGCAUGGUGAUAUUUGUUAAAGAUUUAUUGGUGAUAGAUGGGCAUGCGUUCGAUUAGCUAGUUGGCGGGGUAACGGCCCACCAAGGCGACGAUCGAUAGGGGAGCUGAGAGGUUGAUCCCCCACACGGGCACUGAGAUACGGGCCCGACUCCUACGGGAGGCAGCAGUAGGGAAUAUUGGGCAAUGGAUGCAAGUCUGAUCCAGCAAUACCGCGUGUGUGAAGAAGGCCUUAGGGUUGUAAAGCACUUUCAAUUGGAAGGAAAACCUCGUGGCUAAUAUCCACGAGCUUGACAUUACCUUUAGAAGAAGCACCGGCUAACUCCGUGCCAGCAGCCGCGGUAAUACGGAGGGUGCAAGCGUUAAUCGGAAUUACUGGGCGUAAAGCGUGCGUAGGCGGCUCGUUAAGUCAGAUGUGAAAGCCCUGGGCUCAACCUGGGAACUGCAUUUGAAACUGGCGAGCUAGAGUUUGAGAGAGGUAAGUGGAAUUUCAGGUGUAGCGGUGAAAUGCGUAGAGAUCUGAAGGAACACCAGUGGCGAAGGCGACUUACUGGCUUAAAACUGACGCUGAGGUACGAAAGCGUGGGUAGCAAACAGGAUUAGAUACCCUGGUAGUCC